GACGAACGCUGGCGGCGUGCUUAACACAUGCAAGUCGAACGGUAAGGCCCUUCGGGGUACACGAGUGGCGAACGGGUGAGUAACACGUGGGUGAUCUGACCUGCACUUCGGGAUAAGCAUGGGAAACUGGGUCUAAUACCGGAUAGGACUCCUGCCUGCAUGGGUGGGGGUGGAAAGCUUUUGUGGUGUGGGAUGGGCCCGCGGCCUAUCAGCUUGGUGGUGGGGUGAGGGCCUACCAAGGCGACGACGGGUAGCCGGCCUGAGAAGGUGACCUGCACACUGGGACUGAGAUACUGCCCAGACUCCUACGGGAGGCAGCAGUGGGGAAUAUUGCACAAUGCGCGCAAGCCUGAUGCAGCGACGCCGCGUGAGGGAUGACGGCCUUCGGGUUGUAAACCUCAUUCAGCACAGACGAAGCGCAAGUGACGGUAUGUGCAGAAGAAGGACCGGCCAACUACGUGCCAGCCGCCGCGGUAA
rnacentral:rRNA from 1 species